CCUACGGGGGGCAGCAGUGGGGAAUAUUGGACAAUGGGGGGAACCCUGAUCCAGCCAUGCCGCGUGUGUGAAGAAGGCCCUCGGGUUGUAAAGCACUUUCAGUGAGUAAGAACGCCUGGUGGUUAAUACCCAUCAGGAAAGACAUCACUCACAGAAGAAGCACCGGCUAACUCCGUGCCAGCAGCCGCGGUAAUACGGAGGGUGCGAGCGUUAAUCGGAAUUACUGGGCGUAAAGCGCGCGUAGGUGGCUUGAUAAGCCGGUUGUGAAAGCCCCGGGCUCAACCUGGGAACGGCAUCCGGAACUGUCAAGCUAGAGUGCAGGAGAGGAAGGUAGAAUUCCCGGUGUAGCGGUGAAAUGCGUAGAGAUCGGGAGGAAUACCAGUGGCGAAGGCGGCCUUCUGGACUGACACUGACACUGAGGUGCGAAAGCGUGGGUAGCAAACAGGAUUAGAUACCCUAGUAGUC
rnacentral:rRNA from 1 species